CAAGUUAACCUAAGUUGGGAUUUCAUUUACAUUGAAAUAUUUUUUUGUUCAAAUCAGAAUGGCUUGA
rnacentral:tRNA from 1 species